UCUUGAUGGAGCUAAUUACUUGAGCCCAGCAACUUAGACAUCUCUUUGCCUUUGAAGAGUACCCAGAUAUAAAAAAUGGCAUCACUCAAGUCUCAGAAACCUGCCGCCACUCAACCACCUGCACCAGCCCUCAAAGAGGUUUCUGCUCCUAAAACUUGCCGGACAUGUAAAUCCACCAGCACACCCGCACCCGCACCCUCGCCCACGCCCACAGGCGGCACAUCCGUAGCAUAUCCCACAUCGAAAGCUGCUCCUACCUCCAAGCCAACCUCUGGCAAGAAGGGAGCAAAAGCGAAGUAAGCAUGCAGCCGAUGAAAAAGGAGAAUAAAUGAGGAAGACAAGGCUUGGGUUUGAAGGAUUCAUCAUCAGAUAAUUAAUCUCAAUUCAUGCCAGUCUGCCUCAAUGCUUACUAAUUAUAUUAGAGAAGCUGCUUGUCUAUAUAAUAUCCAUCAUGUGGACUCCUAAAAUAAAAAUAAAAAUACUCUUAAGUUGAUCUAAAAAAUAAAAAAAAAAAUAAAAACUUAGUUCGAAA